GAGUGAGUGAAUGGGGAACACAGUGGGUCCCGGGGAACAGGACAGGAGGGGAACACAGUGGGUCCCGGGGACAGGACAGGAGGGGAACACAGUGGGUCCCUGGGACAGGACAGACAAGAAAGAUGGGCGAGGACAGGAUGGGGGAGAGAAAGAUGGGCGGGAUCAGGACGGGGAAGAGUGAGUGAGUUGGGUCUCACGCCGCUUUUAGCAAUAUUCCAGCACUAUUACGAUGGGGGACACCAGAAA